rnacentral:rRNA from 1 species
GACAGAGGAUGCAAGCGUUAUCCGGAAUGAUUGGGCGUAAAGCGUCUGUAGGUGGCUUUUUAAGUCUGCCGUCAAAUCCCAGGGCUUAACCCUGGACAGGCGGUGGAAACUACCAAGCUGGAGUACGGUAGGGGCAGAGGGAAUUUCCGGUGGAGCGGUGAAAUGUGUAGAGAUCGGAAAGAACACCAACGGCGAAGGCACUCUGCUGGGCCGACACUGACACUGAGAGACGAAAGCUAGGGGAGCAAAUGGG